CGCGGGGCUCGAACUCACGGGCCGCGAGAUCGUGACCUGGCUGACGUCGGACGCUUAACCGACUGCGCCACCCAGGCGCCCCUUUUUUUCUUUUUUUUAAGUUGACGUGCGAUGCUGCCGCGUUGCUUUCAAGUUGUAAUUUGCCUUUUAAAUUUACUUGUUGCAUCUUGCCAGUGGUUUUAAGUUUUGUUGUCAAGUCUGUUAUUUUGACCAUAGUUUCAUACUUUGAUGUUCUGCUGUAUUUCCCACUGGCUUCCUUGUGCUUUCAUUUUUGACAUUUGACAUAACUCUUUAAUCCGUCUAGGAGUCGUGUUGGUGUUUGUACAGUGUGAGGUAAGAAUCCAAUUAAUUCAAGAUGGCUGAUUUCCCCAGCGCCGCUUCCUGGGUGAUGCCUUCUCUACUGAUCUGAAACUUGUUAGUUAUGUACUAAGUACCUUUAAUGUAAUUGAGUAUGUUUCUGAACUUUCUAGUUUGUUCCGCCGAUCUAUCUUUCCUCCGCCAGUCCAGUGUUUUCAUUAUAUUAAGCUUUAUCACAUCUGAUUGUAAAACGUGGUAAUACAAGCCCCUGGCAUUCUUUUUUAAGGUACUCUGAUUUUUACUGGAAUUGCGUUAUGUUUAUCGAUAUGUUAUGACGUUGAGACUUUCCACGUAGGAACGGGCCCCCCCUGUUCGUUUAGGAUUGGAUGAUUUUCGUGUCCUCAGAAAUUUUAGCCCUCUCUUAGGCAAGUUAUGGACAUUUAUGAAGUUCGCUCCUAGAUAUGUUAUAUUCUGUGUUGUGGUUAGAUAUAUUUUUCCAUUAAAAUUCCUGGUUGUGGUAGUAUGUGAUAAGACUUGUUUGAUAGGUAUACGUUAUUUUGGACAUAAAUAGGCUGAUUAUUAAGGCCAAUUGGAAGGCAAUAUAGCAUCCAGGCUAAAAGGGCUUUUGAGUCAGAUGACUCUGAUCUCAUGCUUGACUUGCCCCUUAUUUAUUUUCUGUGCCGUGAGCUCUCUGCCUCAGUUUCUCCAUUUGUAAGAAGGGAUAAUCAUAUUAUCUACUAAGAAGUGGGAUGAGGCUUUAAUGAAAUAAAGAGGCAUUGUGCUCAGUGCUCUGCUGACACGGAGUGAGCACUGUUCUACUGGAGUUUCAGAGUAAGAGUCAUCUUUAAUGGUUCUGCCAUCCAUGUGAUUCAUUCCGUUUUUCUUGCUUCUCUCCUGUCUUGCUGGCAUUGGCUGUAAUCACUAAUGAGCUGUGAGCAUCGUGGUCUUGUUCCCACCCAAUCCGCUGGUGGGAUCUGUCGGCGGAUAGAGAAGGGUCACGCUGGCCCUGGCAGGUGUGCACAAGCCCCAGCAGCACACAUCAGGCUGCCCAUUGGUUGUCAUCCUGACGGUCCUCAGCUGGAGUGAUCUGCUGACAGAGCUCUUCAAAUUUUAAUAUUCACGUAUUUGUUUUAUCAUGUAUUUGAAAAUUGCUGGAUUUCUAUUUAUGGUGGUAAUACAACAUUUCCUUUUAAGAGGAAAUGUUCUCUUUUUAGUUGAAAUGUCCCCCCACAUACUGUAAGAUUCAUGCUGUCAACGUGUACAAUUCAGUGGGUUUUAGUAUGUUCACCGUGUUUUGCCAACCAUCACUGUCAUCCCAUUUCCAGGACUUUUUCAUUUUCCCAAACAGAAGCCUGAUCCCCAUAAAACAGUAACUUCCCAUCCCUCUCUCCCUCCCUCCUCCCGGUUCCCCCCACCCCGCUUUUUUUCCUGCAUUUUCAUUAUUGUAGCUGAUCAAAGUCUGUUUGCAAUAGAUGUGAAUGUGAGUUAAGUACAUGUGACGUUGAUUUGGCAGAGGCAACCUAGUGAUUGGCAAGAACACAGCACGAGCAGCUUCUGCAGGUUGGUGUUCCUCCUCCUGGUUCCUGAUAACCUUUACUAUACUCUCUGUCUAUUUGCCUAUUCUAGGUUCCUCCUACGAAGGGAAUCAUACAUUUGUCCUUUUGUGUCCGUCCUACUUCAGUUAGCACAGUGUUUGCAAGUUUCAUUCACGUGGCAGCAUGUGACAAUACUUGACUCCUUUGUGAGGCCGAAUACGCCCUUGGUGUGGCUACACCACAUUUUGUUUAUCCAGUCAUUUGUGGGACAUUUGGGUUGUUUCCACUCAUUUGGCUAUUAUGAAUAAUAUCUCUAUGCACUUUUUAUUGAAUUUGUUUUAAAUUGUCAUUGGUGUGUGCCUCAGAGUGGAAGUGCUGGGUCAGAUAACUCUGUGCUUAACUUUUUGAGGAUCCGCAGAACUGUCUCCCAGUGUAGCUGCACCAUUUUACAUUCUCGCCAUUAAUUGAUGAGGUUUCUGAUUUCUCCACACCCUCAACCCUUGUUCUUAUUUGGCUGUCUGUGCGUGUGUGUGUGUGUGUGUGUGUGUGUGUGUGUGUGUGUGUGUGUUUAUAUAAGCUCUAUGCCCAGUGUAGGAUUUGAACUCCCAACCUGGGGUCGCAUGCUCAUCCACCCAAGCCAGCCAGGCACCCCUCUGGUUUUUUGAUCAUAGCCAUCCUAAUGGGUGUGACGUGGUAUCUCCUGUGAUUUUGAUUUGCACUUCUCUCAUGACUAACUGUGUCUAGCACCUUUCCAUAUGCUUGUUGGCCAUGUGUAGAUCUUCUCUAGAGAACUGUCUAUACUGAUCUUUUGUCCCCUUUUUAAUUGAGUGUUUAUCUUCUCAUUAUUGAAUUUUAAGAGUUCUUUGUGUAUUCUGGAUACUAGAGCCUUAUCAUGUUUUUCCCUUCUGGGGGUCGUGUUUCCACUUUCUUGAUAGUGUUCUUUGACAUAAAAUAAAUUUAUAUGUCGAAAGUAACUUGAUUUAAGGGAAAAAAAAAACUGGGACUGGUUAUACGGCAAAAAAUGUCCAGGUGUCGUGUGAAUGAUUAAGGUUUGGGGGCAGAGAAGAGUGUUCCGAUCCUGUAGCGUGAAGUGGGUGAGCAGCACGCCUUCCUGUGCAACGUCAGCGGGUUCUACCUGGUAUGUGUGACGGGGUCAUCUCGUUGGAGUGCUUGGAAGGUUUGGUUUUGUUUUUUGUGUCCAGUAAUAGAUAAUGCAUUUAUUCAGAUGUCUUUUCUGCAUUCCCCCCCCCCCCCGCCGCCGCUGCCCCCCCAAGCAUCGAGUUUUUCUCCUUUCAUUCUCUCAUGAUUAAUUGCAUCACGGAAUAUCAUGGCCUCCUGUGAUUUCUGAAACACACCGGUCCCAGGCCUGGAGCUCUAUUCCGCCAACACAGAAAUGAAUCAGAAGGUCCACUUCAGCUUCAGGGAGUUGUCAGGCAGGCUUCCGUAUCAGGACCUCAGGAAAGGCAGAGACGCUUUUAAGAGCAGCCGCAAAGAGCAGACCUCUGAGCCGGACAACUGACUUUCUGUUCCCUGCUUUGCCACUUAGCACGUGACGUUGGCCACAUUUCUAAAAUACUUGAAGCCUGUUUCCUUAAUAAAAUGGGGACAAAAAUAAAGUCAGAACAUAACUCGUGGUUUGCGUGAGGCUGAGAUGAGGGGUCACACGGCACAGGUGCUGGGAGUGAGGGGCCCUGCUGUUUCCGGUCCCUGUCAGCCUCCCCACUUGGCACAGUUGACUGGACACAGAGUGUUGGGUAACGCCGCCCGGGCUGCCACUUCCUUUUGGAGAUUCCAAGUUCUUUGCGAACUUCCAGUGUCUUCCUGAGUUAUAGGCUAGUCCGUAUUUCUAUUUCAUUGUAAGUCAAUGUGCUUGAAUUCAGUUUUCUAAGAAAAUCGCCUUUUUAAAUUAGUGUAGAGCUUUUUUUUUUUUUUUUUUUUUUUUUUUUUGCAUUUUAAUAUCCUUGUCAAUGGUUUUUGGGGGUGGAAGGGAAAAAAAUAGUUUUCACUUUUUAUUCCUAGUUUAUCUUUGACAGACUUUCGAGAAAUCUAUUUUACUGGUUUUUUCAAAGAAGCAGCUUUAGAUAGAAUACCCAGUUCUGCUUUCAUGUUGUAAUUUAUUAAUUUCUGCUUUUACUUCAUUAAUUCUUGUGCUCUCCUCGGAUGUUGUUUGUCCCUCUUUUUCCAGUCUUGCCUUAUAUACUUAGUGCGGAAGGAGGGGGAGGCAGAGCGCGGUCAGGGAGGCUGUGGCAGGAGGCGGUCCUGCUCUAGCCCCACUGUGACCAUGGACAGAGCCCUCCAACGCCGACGCGUGGACCCUCCGUAAGGGAGGCAACUGCUGCCCCCUCCCCGCCCCCGCCACCCCCGCCGCCGGAGGAUGCAUGGAGGCCAGUUAGUGGCCAGGGCCCAGCGGGAGCAUGGGGGGCGUUCUGCAGGGGGGAACGGCCAACUGCUGUUGCUCCGGUCCACAGUUCGGUUUCUAACGAUCACUCCAACCAACAGCCUCCUCGGUGUCCAGAUACUCAGCUGGUCUCCACAGACACAGGCAGGUGAGAUGAAGGGCCCUGCCUUCCCGUGGUGCCCCCGUUCUCCCGGGGGACCGGUCUCCGAUGGUGACUAGAUAGAUGGUGAGUUAACACAGUGUGGCAACGGCCACCGGGGAUGGAGUGCAGCCUGAGGGUGAAGACAGAGCCCUAACCCAGGGGAGACCUUUGAGCUGUCACUUGACAGGUAGGUGAGGCUGUAAGGAAGAGCAUUCCUGGCGGAGAGAAGGGCGUGAGCAAAGCCUCUGAGCUGUGAAGGAAACUGGCUGGAGCUAGGAGUGCAGGUGGGGCUGGCCGGGCCGCGGUGGGGACUCAGGAGGUGCCCCAUGGUGCACCUGAAGGCUCCCCGUCUGUAUUUGGGAAAAGAGUUUAUUGUCCUCAUUUCCUAUUUGCUUUUUGGUUUUAGUUCUGAUGUAUCACUUGAACAUAGUUAUUUAAAGAGUACGCUUUAAAUUUUCCGAGGUUUUGGAAGGGUUGUGUUUUGGUUUUUUUUAACUAUUAUAAUCAAUUUCUAUUUUAAUGAAUGGUUACCUGAGGAAGCGCCCAGUACAAUUUCCGCCUUUUGGAUCUGUGGCUCCCUUUCUUCACUGCUUAAGUGUAUUUGGUGCGUGGAGUCCGGCCCUGCCGCGUGGAGUGCCGGGUGCUGACCGGGCCGACGGGAGCCCACCCCCUCCCCACCCCCACC